GGCUUCUUACGGCCGCCUCCCGAGUUGUUUUCCGCUGCUUGCUGCUUCUUCUUCAGUUCUUCUUCUUCUUCUUCUUCUUUUAUUUUAUUUUAAUGUAUAAAGAAGAUGAAGAAGAAGAACGCAAAUCCUCAUUCUGCGUGUCCGUGUCUUGGAACAAUAAGAGACAGUGAAAGGACGGACGAUGGCUUUGAAGUUAAGGGAUCGCACACGGGGAAGUCUUAGGAACAUAGAGAACGCGUGGAAGGCUGAGCCGAAGCACCGGGCCGAACAGAAGAAGUUGAUUCAAGAUGAGCGUGAGCGUUCUGAGUUUCGUCUUCUCCAGGAGCAAGCUGUUCUUGUCACAACAAGCCUCACUCCUCCAAUGACGCUCAGAGGAAAGUCCAUUCUUAUCCUCUCCUUUUGAUUCGCAAAUCUCUAAACUUCCUUCUCUCUCUCUCUCUCUCUCUCUCUCUCUCUCUCUCUCUCUCUCUUUGAUGAAUAAUACUCUUUCAAUGAAUCGCUUCCUUCUCUUCUUUUUCUCUAUCUAUGUAAUUGGUCAUGCAUGCCCAUUUUGUAAUGUAGAAAUGUCUGUUAGGUUUUGUGAAAAUACGUUAUUAAAUAUGAAAUUGAUGGUGAAUAGCUAGUUCUUUUCACUUUUAAACUUGAAUCUCAAGUUAGUAGACGCCUUUGGUACCAUGGACGCGUCCUUGGCUCAUGACCUGGAAACAUCAACAUUUGUACUUUUAUUUUUUUAAUAUUAGCUGAAACAUUUCUAUUCACAUGCUGAGGGGAAAAGAAGAUCAAUAUCAUUGGAGAAUUCCAAAUUUUUUAUAGUAAAUAAUCAGUUUUGUGCGCCUGCUGAACCAGUGAUUAUUAUUUUGUAGGUUGAAACAAAGAGAUGGAGAAGAACCGUUAUAGAAAGGAACACCGGAAGAAGCACGGUCAUAGUAAAGGAAAGCAUCACAAGCAGUCAUUAUUGAAACCAUAAUAGGAUUCUGAAAAUGUCAGUGCUGAAGGAGAACGAAGGAGAAAGACUAGUGAUCACAAGCAUUCAUCUUCUAAAAAACAAUCUGACUCAGAAAAUGUCAGAGUUGAAUAUGGGAAAAGGUGAGAAAAAGUAGCGAUAGCAGGAGUCCAAAGCAUGAUAACCAUAAUUACAAAGCGCGUGUGGGUUCAGAUGGCGAAUCAAGUGAAUUAGAACCAAAUAGGAAGGAAUAACUACAGGGGUUGAAAAUACGGAAAGCAAACUCCCCGUGGGUUCUCGCACCAAGAGCUGUGGAAGAAGAUGUUCAAGAUGCGCACAGGAAGAAUCAUGGCAAGUCAAUGAAUGAGAGAUAUUUGUUGGAGGGCAGCGCAGAUUUUGCCCCUGAUAGAAAGGAUAGGAGCACGAAGAGUCCUCGUUAGGGAAGAUCUUAUGCUUCUGCUAAGUCAGUUUGCCAUGAUUCAAUCUUUAAGUGUCGGAAUGUUGCCUCUAAACUGACAGAAGAAGAGCGAGCUGGUAAGCUAUGGGAGAUGCAAGUCGAUGUUGAGUUGCAUGAAGAGAAAAGAUGGAAGCAUUUGAGGAAGGCAGAGGAAGAUGGUGCAUGAGAAGCUACUUGUGCGUGCAUGCUGGGUGGGAGGAACUUACUAGACGCUGCUCAUAAAAGUGUGUAUGGAAAUGAGUAGGGGGGAGCUCAACCAUUAAGGAUAGCGCACACCUUAUUCACAAGGAAAGUCUGAAGUGGGUGAUGGCAAUGCUUUUUGCCGGUGAAGCACUCCUGACUUGGUGGUUUAUUUUUGCCUUUUUAAUAGUUCCAGGUGUGUUCCUUACCUCCCCAUGCAUGUAUGCAUAUUCUGUAAUACGGACCUCUCACCUUUAUUAAACCUUCUUGUAAAACCAAGUGGUUGAUUCAAAUAGUCAUUCAGUUCAAUAUACAGUUCGUUGAAACUCUCAACGGCAUGUCAUCUGAUUGAUACUA